rnacentral:rRNA from 1 species
CCUACGGGUGACAGCAGUGGGGAAUAUUGGGCAAUGGACGCAAGUCUGACCCAGCAACGCCGCGUGAAGGAAGAAGGCUUUCGGGUUGUAAACUUCUUUUAAGGGGGAAGAGCAGAAGACGGUACCCCUUGAAUAAGCCACGGCUAACGACGGGACAGCAGCCGCGGUAAUACGGAGGUGGCAAGCGUUGUCCGGAUUUACUGGGUGUAAAGGGCGGGCAGACGGAGAGAAAAGUCAGAUUUGAAAUCCACAGGCUCCACCUGUGCACUGCAUUUGAAACUGUUUCCCUUGAGUUUCGGAGCGGUCAUCGCAAUUCCUAGUGUAGCGGUGAAAUGCGUAGAUAUUAGGAAGAACACCAGUGGCGCAGGCGGAUGACUGGACGACACCUGACGGUGAGGCGCGAACGCGUGGGGAGCAAACAGGAUUAGAUACCCUUGUAGUC